rnacentral:rRNA from 1 species
AGAGUUUGAUCCUGGCUCAGAUUGAACGCUGGCGGCAUGCCUUACACAUGCAAGUCGAACGGUAACAGGUCUUCGGAUGCUGACGAGUGGCGAACGGGUGAGUAAUACAUCGGAACGUGCCUAGUAGUGGGGGAUAACUACUCGAAAGAGUGGCUAAUACCGCAUGAGAUCUACGGAUGAAAGCAGGGGAUCGCAAGACCUUGUGCUACUAGAGCGGCCGAUGGCAGAUUAGGUAGUUGGUGGGAUAAAAGCUUACCAAGCCGACGAUCUGUAGCUGGUCUGAGAGGACGAUCAGCCACACUGGGACUGAGACACGGCCCAGACUCCUACGGGAGGCAGCAGUGGGGAAUUUUGGACAAUGGGCGCAAGCCUGAUCCAGCAAUGCCGCGUGCAGGAUGAAGGCCUUCGGGUUGUAAACUGCUUUUGUACGGAACGAAAAGCCCUGGGUUAAUACCCUGGGGUCAUGACGGUACCGUAAGAAUAAGCACCGGCUAACUACGUGCCAGCAGCCGCGGUAAUACGUAGGGUGCGAGCGUUAAUCGGAAUUACUGGGCGUAAAGCGUGCGCAGGCGGUUUUGUAAGACAGAGGUGAAAUCCCCGGGCUCAACCUGGGAACUGCCUUUGUGACUGCAAGGCUAGAGUACGGCAGAGGGGGAUGGAAUUCCGCGUGUAGCAGUGAAAUGCGUAGAUAUGCGGAGGAACACCGAUGGCGAAGGCAAUC